rnacentral:rRNA from 1 species
UACGGAGGGGGCUAGCGUUGUUCGGAAUUACUGGGCGUAAAGCGUGCGCAGGCGGCGCGUUAAGACAGGUGUGAAAGCCCCGAGCUUAACUUGGGAAUUGCGCUUGUGACUGGCGUGCUGGAGUGUGGCAGAGGGAGGUGGAAUUCCACGUGUAGCAGUGAAAUGCGUAGAGAUGUGGAGGAACACCGAUGGCGAAGGCAGCCUCCUGGGCCAACACUGACGCUCAUGCACGAAAGCGUGGGGAGCAAACAGG